AGAUAUCAGGGUCAAAAGGUCUAAAAUCCGACGAGGGCUUGCUUGAAGGAGGAUUUUUGAACUUGGGACCCGCCAAAAACAUGAGUAAGGAGCCAUUUUUUGAAGAAAAAUGAGCGGAUUACGAAUGUUUUUAGAAUUGCGGGAGUGCAAAGCACGUAGCAAUUCGGUAUCA
rnacentral:ncRNA from 2 species